rnacentral:rRNA from 1 species
AGCAUAUCAAUAAGCGGAGGGAAAAGAAACUAACAAGGAUUCCCCUAGUAACUGCGAGUGAAGCGGGAAAAGCUCAAAUUUAAAAUCUGUCAGUCUUUGACUGUCCGAGUUGUAAUCUAGAGAAGCGUUAUCCGCGCUGGACCGUGUACAAGUCUCCUGGAAUGGAGCGUCAUAGAGGGUGAGAAUCCCGUCUUUGACACGGACUGCCAGGGCUUUGUGAUACGCUCUCAAAGAGUCGAGUUGUUUGGGAAUGCAGCUCAAAAUGGGUGGUAAAUUCCAUCUAAAGCUAAAUAUUGGCGAGAGACCGAUAGCGAACAAGUACCGUGAGGGAAAGAUGAAAAGAACUUUGGAAAGAGAGUUAAACAGUACGUGAAAUUGCUGAAAGGGAAACGCUUGAAGUCAGUCGCGUUGUCCAGGGAUCAACCUUGCUUUUGCUUGGUGUACUUUCUGGUUGACGGGUCAGCAUCAAUUUUGACUAUUGGAAAAAGAUUAAGGGAAUGUGGCAUCUUUGGAUGUGUUAUAGCCCUUGGUUGCAUACAAUGGUUGGGAUUGAGGAACUCAGCACGCCGCAAGGCCGGGUUUUAACCACGUACGUGCUUAGGAUGCUGGCAUAAUGGCUUUAAUCGACCCGUCUUGAAACACGGACCAAGGAGUCUAACAUGCCUGCGAGUGUUUGGGUGGAAAACCCGAGCGCGUAAUGAAAGUGAAAGUUGAGAUCCCUGUCGUAGGGAGCAUCGACGCCCGGACCAGACCUUUUGUGACGGUUCCGCGGUAGAGCAUGUAUGUUGGGACCCGAAAGAUGGUGAACUAUGCCUGAAUAGGGUGAAGCCAGAGGAAACUCUGGUGGAGGCUCGUAGCGAUUCUGACGUGCAAAUCGAUCGUCAAAUUUGGGUAUAGGGGGCGAAAGACUAAUCGAACCAUCUAGUAGCUG